GUGCAGUAGGGAAUCUUCCGCAAUGGACGCAAGUCUGACGGAGCAACGCCGCGUGAGUGAGGAAGGCCUUCGGGUCGUAAAGCUCUGUUGCCAGGGAAGAACGGGUGGAAGAGUAACUGCUUCCGCCAUGACGGUACCUGAGAAGAAAGCCCCGGCUAACUACGUGCCAGCAGCCGCGGUAAUACGUAGGGGGCAAGCGUUGUCCGGAAUUAUUGGGCGUAAAGCGCGCGCAGGCGGCUUUGUAAGUCCGGUGUUUAAUCUUGGGGCUCAACCCCAAGUCGCACGGGAAACUGCAAGGCUUGAGUGCAGAAGAGGAAAGUGGAAUUCCACGUGUAGCGGUGAAAUGCGUAGAGAUGUGGAGGAACACCAGUGGCGAAGGCGACUUUCUGGGCUGUAACUGACGCUGAGGCGCGAAAGCGUGGGGAGCAAACAGGAUUANAWACCCKCCCGKUGARUCAANNG
rnacentral:rRNA from 1 species